AUUCGCGGCCUAUCAGCUUGUUGGUGAGGUAAUGGCUCACCAAGGCGUCGACGGGUAGCCGGCCUGAGAGGGUGACCGGCCACACUGGGACUGAGACACGGCCCAGACUCCUACGGGAGGCAGCAGUGGGGAAUAUUGCACAAUGGGCGCAAGCCUGAUGCAGCAACGCCGCGUGAGGGAUGACGGCCUUCGGGUUGUAAACCUCUUUUAGCAGGGAAGAAGCGUGAGUGACGGUACCUGCAGAAAAAGCGCCGGCUAACUACGUGCCAGCAGCCGCGGUAAUACGUAGGGCGCAAGCGUUAUCCGGAAUUAUUGGGCGUAAAGAGCUCGUAGGCGGUUUGUCGCGUCUGCUGUGAAGUCCCGAGGCUCAACCUCGGGCCUGCAGUGGGUACGGGCAGACUAGAGUGCGGUAGGGGAGAUUGGAAUUCCUGGUGUAGCGGUGGAAUGCGCAGAUAUCAGGAGGAACACCGAUGGCGAAGGCAGAUCUCUGGGCCGUAACUGACGCUGAGGAGCGAAAGGGUGGGGAGCAAACAGGCUUAGAUACCCUGGUAGUCCACCCCGUAAACGUUGGGAACUAGUUGUGGGGACCAUUCCACGGUUUCCGUGACGCAGCUAACGCAUUAAGUUCCCCGCCUGGGGAGUACGGAAU
rnacentral:rRNA from 1 species